rnacentral:rRNA from 1 species
UAGCUAGUUGGUGAGGUAAAGGCUUACCAAGGCGACGAUCUGUAGCGGGUCUGAGAGGAUGAUCCGCCACACUGGAACUGAGACACGGUCCAGACUCUUACGGGAGGCAGCAGUGGGGAAUUUUGGACAAUGGGGGCAACCCUGAUCCAGCCAUGCCGCGUGAGUGAAGAAGGCCUUCGGGUUGUAAAGCUCUUUCGGCCGGGAAGAAAUCGCAUGGGCCAAUACCCUGUGUGGAUGACGGUACCGGAAUAAGAAGCACCGGCUAACUACGUGCCAGCAGCCGCGGUAAUACGUAGGGUGCGAGCGUUAAUCGGAAUUACUGGGCGUAAAGCGUGCGCAGGCGGUUUUGUAAGACAGGCGUGAAAUCCCCGGGCUUAACCUGGGAACUGCGUUUGUGACUGCAAGGCUAGAGUACGGCAGAGGGGGGUGGAAUUCCACGUGUAGCAGUGAAAUGCGUAGAGAUGUGGAGGAACACCAAUGGCGAAGGCAGCCCCCUGGGUCGAUACUGACGCUCAUGCACGAAAGCGUGGGUAGCAAACAGGAUUAGAUACCCUGGUAGUCCACGCCCUAAACUAUGUCAACUAGGUGUUGGGUGGGUAAAACCAUUUAGUACCGUAGCUAACGCGUGAAGUUGACCGCCUGGGGAGUACGGCCGCAAGGUUAAAACUCAAAGGAAUUGACGGGGACCCGCACAAGCGGUGGAUGAUGUGGAUUAAUUCGAUGCAACGCGAAAAACCUUACCUACCCUUGACAUGCCAGGAACUUGCCAGAGAUGGCUUGGUGCCCGAAAGGGAGCCUGGACACAGGUGCUGCAUGGCUGUCGUCAGCUCGUGUCGUGAGAUGUUGGGUUAAGUCCCGCAACGAGCGCAACCCUUGUCGUUAAUUGCCAUCAUUUAGUUGGGCACUUUAACGAGACUGCCGGUGACAAACCGGAGGAAGGUGGGGAUGACGUCAAGUCCUCAUGGCCCUUAUGGGUAGGGCUUCACACGUCAUACAAUGGUCGGUACAAAGGGUUGCCAAGCCGCGAGGCGGAGCCAAUCCCAGAAAGCCGAUCGUAGUCCGGAUUGCAGGCUGCAACUCGCCUGCAUGAAGUCGGAAUCGCUAGUAAUCGUGGAUCAGCAUGUCACGGUGAAUACGUUCCCGGGUCUUGUACACACCGCCCGUCACACCAUGGGAGCGGGUUCCGCCAGAAGUAGGUAGCCUAACCGCAAGGGGGGCGCUUACCACGGCGGGGUUCGUGACUGGGGUGAAGUCGUAACAAGGUAGCCGUAGGGGAACCUGCGGCUG